rnacentral:lncRNA from 1 species
CAUGUUUAAAACACAGUACAGUUUGGGAAAAGGUUUCAGGCAACAACCAGUCCAAUUCCAGGGGCCCAUAAAGCUUUAGGUGUGGCUGCAUAGAAGCUCCUUUGUGAAGUACAUGUGACCACGAGGGUGGCUUCUAUAGCUAAAAAGGCCUAGAAUCUAGUGUGGUCUCUGAUAGAUUGCAUAGAGGUAAGCAGGCUAUUAGGCACAUGUGGCAUCUCCCCUAAGGUUAGGUUUAACUGGGAGCUAGGGAUAAAGGGCUAGGGAGGGAAAGUCUGGGAUAAUCGUUCUGGGAGAUUUGGAUGAGGCUGCUGCCACAGAUAGCACAAAGGUCAUUAAUGAUACCUGUGCCCAUCCCUCUGGGCAGGAAAACAGGUAUUUUAUUGGAGAGAGGCCCCUGUGUGUUUAACAUUCCCGGUUCUCUAGUGCUCUGUGGGCACAAGGACCUCCAUGAUCCCAACACAAAUCAAAGGCUUUAUGCUAUUCAUUUAGAUGGGGCAUUUCUUACGGAAGAGGCAGUCAAGUUAAGAGCAAAGACUCAGCUGGGUAUAGUAGUGCAUGCCUGUGAUCCGGGAACUUGGGAGAUAGAGAUGAGAGACUCAGAAGUUUGUGGUCAUCCUGGUCUAUAUGAGUUUGAAAUUAGCCUGUCUCAGGGAAUUAAGUCGCAAAUUUACAAAAUGAGUAAGUAAAAAACACGGGCUCUACUAUUUUGAGUCCCAGUUCAGCCAUUUGUUGAACAUGAUUUCAGCCCUCUAAACUACUACUGUUCCUUAGCCUCGUGAUAGACAUUUAAGGGGGUUUGGGGGUCACUAGCCUGGAGAGAUGGCACAGUGGUUAAGAGCCACUGGCUGCUCUUCCAGAGGUCCUGAGUUCAAUUCCCAGCACCCACAUUGGUAGCUCACAACCAUCUGUAAUGGGAUCUGAUGCCCUCUCCUGGUGUGCAUGAAAACAGAGCACUCAUAUCCAUGAAAUAAAUAAAGGAAAAGGACUGGAGAGAUGGUUCAGCAGUUAAUAGCACUAUUCUUCCAGAGGUCCUAAGUUCAAUUCCCCGCAUGGUGAUUCACGACCAUCUGUAAUGGGAUCUAAUGCCCUCCUCUGGAGUGUCUGAAGACAGUUACAGUGUACAUAAUUUAUACUUAAAUAAUUCUUUUUUUAAAAUAAACCUUUAAAAACACACACAUACACCAACAUCCUAUGGCUCACCUGGAGAUUCUUUGAGGUCAUAGGUCCAUGCUGUGGCUGUGGAGUUGGGCAGCUGCUGUUGCCGCCACCACCUCUUCCCCCCUCUUUCCCCUCCUCCAGCCAUCCCUAGCAAUGGUAAUAUUCACUUCCAGGCUACAUUGAACAAUAUUUGGUGUCAACAAGAGGGCAAAUCUGUACAAUUCUGGCAUCUGCCAAUGCAUGGGGUAACUUGCUAUGAUGAAGAACUGGCUGGAUCCUAAUGUCAGGAACACCACUGGAAGCCGCCUUGGUACCCUCCGAGGCAAUGACCUUGCUGUUUGGAGUUUGCUUGCUUACUACCUAUCAGCAGAGGAAAUGCCAGCUCCAAAGGCUGAGUGUUUCCAGUCCUACCCACCCAGGCCAUUUGCCUAUUCAGUCACAGCAGACGCUGGAGCUGUCAGAUCCAGGCUCCAGUCCCAGAUGACCUGUGUACAUAUGACCUUGGGGGCCAGAGGCACCACAUUUCAGAUUCCCCAUCAUUUAUCUGAAAAUAGGAUCAUAAGUAGCUGGGAAACAUGUAGUAGAAGUUAAUACUAUAGGCACCAAGGUCAACACAGACGUGAGUUCAAAUCUCAGCUACUUACUUAGUGAGCUUUGGGAAGUGACCUCACUUCCCUCACCUGUGAAAUGGGUCUGAUAAUCCCCUUCCUCCUGCAGAAAGUUCAUCUGGGAACUAAAGGAGCUGACACAGGUGAUAAUCGCUUUUAUUGUUAUCCAGUUCAUCCAACAAGUGGUUCGCUUUGAUUCCCUGAGUACCAUCAGCGACAAGGUGGCAAACAAAAUGGUAUCGUGGGCAGCGUGUCUGCAUGAGUGCGCUUCUUGUAAUGCAGGAGGGUGCCCGCCUGAUGCCCCUCAGCACUGAUGUCUGACACACUCUGUUCUCUCACCCUCUUGCAGAUCUGUGCCAUCAUCGGCGGAACCUUCACUGUCGCCGGCAUUCUGGACUCCUGUAUCUUCACAGCCUCAGAAGCGUGGAAGAAGAUCCAGCUGGGCAAAAUUCACUGACGUCCUGUCCAGCCCAGUGACUGAGGACCAGGAACCCUGCUAGCCCUGCCUCUGGCGUCCUAUCUCCUUCUGCCUUCUCUGGCCCAGUGUGUGUGGGAGGAGGGUGAUGGUUAUGGGUGGCACCAGGUUCCCCAGCUACCUCUCUCCCCAUGUUUUAGAUAAAUUAACACUGCCUGGAGUCACGUGUCUCUUUCCCUGCAGAGCCCCAAGACCAGGGUCAGGCAUGGGGAGGUACUCCAGGGAUGCCGGUGACCUCUCUGGGAAGGCUGUAGUCUAUUCUCUGUUAGGGAAUAACUUAGAGUACAAACAGAUAAGCUUUCAGACAGGCUUUGACAAUCUUUAAGCCCCCAUCAUUUGGACAUGCUAAUAGCUUGAUUUGUCCCCCGGGCAGCCAACCUGUGCUCUCAGCCUCGGGACCAGACUGCCCAAAGGUACUGCUGCUUGGCGCUCUCAGUAUGGAAUGGUACUUGGCAGGGACACCCAUAGGCCCGGCACUGCAGCUGGAACUUGCUUCUGCCUCAUUGCUUCAUGCCCGACCUAGAGCCCGGGGCUUGUCUCCUACCCCAGCCCUGCCUCCUCCUCCGGGCAGAUGCCAGAUUGCUUGACAGAACGGUGGAGACUCGGAUUUGCCCACCAGUCCUGAGGCAGCUCACGGGUGCCCCUUCCUCUCUUGUCUUUGCUUUUCUGAAUCCCCCACCAAUGUGCCUCAGCUGCUGUGCUAUGCGGCAAUAGCAUUUCUUGGUGAAGGGGCUGGUUCCCAUUGCAAAGCCCCCCUCCCCCCAACAGUUACAUUCUGCAGUGCCAAGGGAUAGGGCCAUGUGACUGGAAGGUCAUCCUUGGAAGACCAUAUAAGGCACAGUUUGUACACUUCUGUCCAAACCAGAAGCAUCCUUCCCAAUGAACCACAAAUGAUCAUGUCUGACAUCCACCUUUGGUCCCAAGGCCUUAGCUGGGGAAAUGAAGCAGGCUUCUCUUUCCAUCCCUACCUUGCAGGGUCCCAAAAGAUGCCCAGCAUCUGGAACCCACUUGCUAUUGAGACCCCCUGUUAGCUGAGCACAUGCCAACUCAUUCUUAGACCCAGGGGGCUCCCGUGUCUCCCCCACUUCCUCCUGAGUUAGAUCUCUUUCUUGUUCCCCCUCAUCCUUCCUAAGGGGAGGGGCAGUGGUCUAGGUAUGAAUUCCAUGCAGAGAAUUUUAGCUAUGUUCUCAAGUCCAGAGAGAGCCGCGGGCCUGGGCUUCAUUUAUAUUGAGAUGGUUUGCAUACUUUUGUAAUGAAGGGGUACCUGCAGUAGGAAGUUUUGGGGUUUUUUGUUUUUGUUUGGUUUUGGUUUUGUUUUUCUUAAAUAGUCUCUUAUGGGUAGCUGGAUUCUCUGCCAUUUGUAAUUUUUCCUCUGAUUCCAAUUAGCAAAACUUCCCUUUUUAUAUGAGUUGAUUCUUAUUGUGUAUGUAAACUGCCCCUGGCCACUUGGCUAGAUUUCUUAUCUUCUUUUAAACAUUCUGUUCCACAGUUUAAGAAACCAGUCCCUUUGGUGUGUGAAUCUGUCACCUGUGGAGGGUUGGGCAGGGUGGGAUGGGACGGGAACUAUGUGGCAUGCGUAUGAGUUGAAAUCCCACUUUUGUGAGGACACGGUAUGCCAGUUUCCCAUGGAAGAGACGCCUCUGGCCUGUUGUUCUUGUAAAGGUAUUCUUAAGGGGACAUAUGUUUUGAUUCUUUCCCACUCACUGGGUUCAAUUAGAUAUUAAAAGGCUGCUUUUC